rnacentral:lncRNA from 1 species
GGCCGGUGAUGUUUAGAUGUAUUGUCCGUACCAUCUGAGAGAAAUCUCUGAUGCAUUAACCUCUAGCUUCUGAGGCCUCGUACUAAGCUUUUUUUUUUUUUUUUUUUCUACUUGUUCUAGUUUCUGGUUCAUAGGUUAUUGCAAAGUUGUUUUCUUGGUGAGGCCUUGAUGAAUGUAUUAUAUACCAUCAAACUUUGAAAGCCCCAGAUUGGAGCUUGUUGAUGCCAACACUAUUUUCUGAGCCUUGUGUUUUUUGUUCUUUCAACAAAGUUGUAGUCUUAAGAUCUAGAUGGGAAUGGAGUUUAGCUGAAUAGAGAAGCACUGUAGUUGUUGGAUGUUGGUGUGGAAAGGCAACAAAUUAGAGUCUCUGAUGCGCUUAAUUACUAUAGCGUUUUAGUGCUGUACGUUGCCAAUAGGGA